GGUGAACGCAGCAGGCCAAGCAGCAUCUGUAGGAAGAGGUACAGUCGAUGUUUCAGGCCGAGCCCUUCGUCAGGACUAACUGAAGGAAGAUCUCCUCCACUACACCCUAAAAGUCACUGAAGAGACUGCAGAGGCUGGAGUGCAGAGCGACAAGCAAUCUGUUGCAGGAAUAUGACAGUGAUAAUAAAUCUGAUUCUGAUUCUGAACUCAGCCAGUCGAGCAGCAUCUGUGGCAGGAAAAGAACUGUUGGUGUUUCAGGUCAAAACUCUGCAAAAAGAGGGGCUGCUGCACAGGAUCGGAAAAAGCUGCAAAAAGUUGUCAGCUCAGCCAGCUCCAUCAUGGGCACUGGCCGGCCGCUCCAGCAUCGAGGACACCUCAAAAAGGCUGCAUCCAUUACCCAAGGUACCCUCUUCUCACUGCUACCAUCAAGAAGGAGAUGCAAGAGCCUGAAGACACACACUGAACAUUUUAGAAACAGCUUCAUCCCCUCCGACAUCAAAUUUCUGAAUGGACAAUUUUAUAUAUAUGUAUAUAUGUGUUUUUGUUUCUUAUUGUAUAGUAUUUUUAUUAUUAUUCUGUAUUACACAGUACUGCUGCCACAAAACAAAUUUCCUGACAUAUGCCAGUAAUAUUAAACCUGAUUCUGAUUCUGAUUCAGUCUCCAGUUGUGCUGCCACGUUCUCAGACACUUAAUUCUUCUUCCGUUGUUGUCACUUUAGCAUCCCUUUUUACACUACCUUAGAUUACAUGACAAUUUUUGUACCAUUUUGUUUUUUUAUGCUCACCACUAUUUAUUAGAAACAUAGAAAACCUACAGCACAAUAUCGGCCCUUUGGUUUACAAAGCUGUGCCAAACAUGUCCUUACCUUAGAAAUUACCUGGGGUUACCCAUAGCCCUCUAUUUUUCUGAGCUCCAUGUACCUGUCCAG